rnacentral:rRNA from 1 species
AGCGAACGCUGGCGGCAGGCUUAACACAUGCAAGUCGAACGGGCAUCUUCGGAUGUCAGUGGCAGACGGGUGAGUAACACGUGGGAACGUACCCUUCGGUUCGGAAUAACUCAGGGAAACUUGAGCUAAUACCGGAUACGCCCUUUUGGGGAAAGGUUUACUGCCGAAGGAUCGGCCCGCGUCUGAUUAGCUUGUUGGUUGGGUAACGGCCUACCAAGGCGACGAUCAGUAGCUGGUCUGAGAGGAUGAUCAGCCACACUGGGACUGAGACACGGCCCAGACUCCUACGGGAGGCAGCAGUGGGGAAUAUUGGACAAUGGGCGCAAGCCUGAUCCAGCCAUGCCGCGUGAGUGAUGAAGGCCUUAGGGUUGUAAAGCUCUUUUGUCCGGGACGAUAAUGACGGUACCGGAAGAAUAAGCCCCGGCUAACUUCGUG